rnacentral:misc_RNA from 1 species
GAUGAAGAACGUAGUGAAACGCGAUAUGUAAUGUGAAUUGCAGAAUUCAGUGAAUCAUCGAGUCUUUGAACGCACAUUGCGCCCCCUGGUAUUCCGGGGGGCAUGCCUGUCCGAGCGUCAUUGCUGCCCUCAAGCCCGGCUUGUGUGUUGGGUCUCGUCCCCCUUCCCGGGGGGACGGGCCCGAAAGGCAGCGGCGGCACCGCGUCCGGUCCUCGAGCGUAUGGGGCUUUGUCACCCGCUCUGUAGGCCCGGCCGGCGCUUGCCGAUCAACCAAAACUUUUUUCCAGGUUGACCUCGGAUCAGGUAGGGAUACCCGCUGAACUUAAGCAUAUCAAUAAGCGGAGGA